CGGACGGGUGAGUAAUGUCUGGGAAACUGCCCGAUGGAGGGGGAUAACUACUGGAAACGGUAGCUAAUACCGCAUAACGUCGCAAGACCAAAGAGGGGGACCUUCGGGCCUCCUGCCAUCGGAUGUGCCCAUAUGGGAUUAGCUAGUAGGUGAGGUAACGGCUUACCUAGGCGACGAUCCCUAGCUGGUCUGAGAGGAUGACCAGCCACACUGGAACUGAGACACGGUCCAG
rnacentral:rRNA from 1 species